GAUGAAGAACGUAGCGAAAUGCGAUAAGUAGUGUGAAUUGCAGAAUUCAGUGAAUCAUCGAAUCUUUGAACGCACAUUGCGCCCCUUGGUAUUCCAUGGGGCAUGCCUGUUCGAGCGUCAUUUGUACCCUCAAGCUUUGCUUGGUGUUGGGCGUCUUGUCGUAUUACGACUCGCCUUAAAUACAUUGGCAGCCGGCACUUUGGCCUAGGAGCGCAGCACAUUUUGCGAUCGUAGCCCGUUGUACUGGCGUCCAACAAGAACAUUUACCACGUUUGACCUCGGAUCAGGUAGGGAUACCCGCUGAACUUAAGCAUAUCAAUAAGCGGAGGA
rnacentral:misc_RNA from 1 species